rnacentral:rRNA from 1 species
UACAGAGGGUGCGAGCGUUGUCCGGAAUCACUGGGCGUAAAGGGCGCGUAGGCGGCCUGAUAAGUAGGGGGUGAAAUCCUGUGGCUUAACUGCAGGGCUGCCUCCUAGACUGUUAGGCUCGAGCACGGUAGAGGCAGAUGGAAUUCCCGGUGUAGCGGUGGAAUGCGUAGAGAUCGGGAAGAACAUCGGUGGCGAAGGCGGUCUGCUGGGCCGUUGCUGACGCUGAGGCGCGACAGCGUGGGGAGCAAACAGGAUUAGAA